UGGGUACCCACUCGGACGACAAACCACUCGGACGACAUUGUAAGCAAAGGUAUUAUACGUCAUCACUAGGCACUCGGUCGACUUAGAACGUCAUCAUUUUAUAUAUAGCAUAUACACUAGAUCCGUGACGUUUUGAAGAUUGAUACUAGCGCUGCCUAUAACAUUCUUACCAGCUUAGUCUCUCUACAUUUUUCUACUUGUUUCUAUAUAAACUAAAUAUUUUUUUCAUAAACAAAGCAAUGGUUUCUUUUCGUCCAAAGCUUCAAUGCGAUAUUUUAUUAAAAUUUCAAGUUGAAAAUUAGCUUUCAUAGUUUAGUAACGUGUAUAGUAAAACAAGAUUUAUAUUACAAUAAUUUUUGCUAUUUAUGUGGUUAACAUAACAACACAGUGAGGUUAACAACAACAACACAGGUCUAUCUUGAUGUGACUAUCUUAUUCAAUGUUUCUGGUUUUGAGGAAAGCAUUUUCCCAUCAUUUCAAACGUCUACCUUGUAUGAUGUGACUACCUUCUUAUUCAAUAUUUCUGGUUUCGAGAAAAGCAUUUGCCCGUCAUAUCAAACAUAAGU